CUGGGCGUCUAAUAUAUCUUGAAAACAUUCAGAGCAGAAAGCAGUGGAUGAACUGUUAAUAACAUAAUGGAAAAUAUGAUUUCCUGGAGUCUGUUCUUCAUAGUUACUAUUAAUGGAGUUUGGAGUGAAAUCAAACACGAACAGUCUCCCUCCGAGGUGAAAAAACCUGGAGAGAAAGUGAAGAUGUCGUGUAUCACGUCAGGUUAUACAAUGACAGACCACUACAUUCACUGGAUACGACAGAGGCCAGGAAAUGCUCUGGAGUGGAUUGGGAGGAUGGACACAGGCAGCAACUCUGCUACCUUCAGCAGCUCCUUCCAAAGCCGUUUCAUCAUGACUGAAGAUGUGCCCAAGAGCACUCAGUACCUCGAGGUCACGAGCCUGACAGCAGAAGACUCAGCUGUUUACUUCUGUGCUCGAGAAACACAGUGACUGAAGACAGCGGAGCAGCUGAACAAAAACAUCCACACACAACAAACAGCACCUUGGGGACAUUUGGGUUUUCUCACAAACUGCAAAAGUACUUUGAUAUAUUUAACAUCUUCAUGUUGUCAGUAAUAGCUUUUAAAAACAAAUGAAGAACAGGAUAAGAGUUUAUUCAUAACUUAAAUAAAAUAAAUACAC